rnacentral:lncRNA from 1 species
CAAGCUGUGGACUAUCCAGUUGUUAUGCAGUUCAUACCUUACAGCUAAGUUCUCGUUCGUUUCACUCGUUUUUCAAUAAGGAAUUUAGAAGUAAUCACAACUUGGCUUGGCUAAAUGCUUACAACAACUAAUCACUCAUGCACUUCAAAGAAGACUGUGCCCUUCUUAGGGACUCAUCGCAGAAAUUGCACCCCCGAGGGACCAACCAUGCUCUCCAGUGCGAGAAGGUAAACUAAUUGCUCUCCAGUGCGAGAGGGUAAA